rnacentral:rRNA from 1 species
AUUGAACGCUGGCGGCAGGCCUAACACAUGCAAGUCGAACGGUAACAGGAAGCAGCUUGCUGCUUUGCUGACGAGUGGCGGACGGGUGAGUAAUGUCUGGGAAACUGCCCGAUGGAGGGGGAUAACUACUGGAAACGGUAGCUAAUACCGCAUAACGUCGCAAGACCAAAGAGGGGGACCUUAGGGCCUCUUGCCAUCGGAUGUGCCCAGAUGGGAUUAGCUAGUAGGUGGGGUAACGGCUCACCUAGGCGACGAUCCCUAGCUGGUCUGAGAGGAUGACCAGCCACACUGGAACUGAGACACGGUCCAGACUCCUACGGGAGGCAGCAGUGGGGAAUAUUGCACAAUGGGCGCAAGCCUGAUGCAGCCAUGCCGCGUGUAUGAAGAAGGCCUUCGGGUUGUAAAGUACUUUCAGCGGGGAGGAAGGGAGUAAAGUCAAUACCUUUGCUCAUUGACGUUACCCGCAGAAGAAGCACCGGCUAACUCCGUG